rnacentral:lncRNA from 1 species
AAUUAUCUUUCACAAGCUGUUAGGAUUCCUGGGUUCCACUGGACAGAGGCCUCCUCAAUAUGCAUGCAGUGAUAAAGCUGAAGAAAACAGAGGCUCAAAUAAACAGCAGGCUAAAGAAUGGGGUUCAGAAACAUUAAGAGGGCCCGGAGCAGUGACAGCCUUAUCAGAAAGCUGCUGCUUAGAUGGAAAGGGGGCCCAGCUGCUGUCCAUCUGCUCAUGCUUUACAUUACUAAGGUGUGACAGAGGAGGAUGUGAUUGUCCCAUCUGGAGCUACCAUCUGCUGCUUUGCAAGGGCAAGGCAGAGUCUGGAUUAGAGGUCUAACUGAUUACACAAAUCCAGGUCUUUUCAAAAUAAGAAUCAAUACAGCCUCAAAAGACAGGGACAAAUGAGGUCAUCCUGAAGCUCAGUCUGACCAUUCUUACUAAUGAAUAGUACACACCGUCAUGAAUGAUUAGGCACCGGCUUAAAUUCUUACUAAACCCUAGAUGGCAGUUUUCAGAUAUGCCCUUUGCAUGGAUCGCCUGGUACCACCCAGCCCGGCAGCAGGUAUCUGCCAUUAUGGUCUUGAACACAUUGAUUUUUCCCCACGUCUUCUAACACUUGAAGGUGAUGGAUGAGUUGUUUUAUGAAAAAUCACUGUAUAUGGGUGACCAAAAGUGUUUACAUAAUAAAAUCUUCU